rnacentral:miRNA from 1 species
UUGAGUUGUCACCUGCUGAAAGG